GUAGGUGGCAAGCGUUGUCCGGAAUUAUUGGGCGUAAAGCGCGCGCAGGCGGUUUUUUAAGUCUGAUGUGAAAGCCACGGCUCAACCGUGGAGGGUCAUUGGAAACUGGAGAACUUGAGUACAGAAGAGGAAAGCGGAAUUCCACGUGUAGCGGUGAAAUGCGUAGAGAUGUGGAGGAACACCAGUGGCGAAGGCGGCUUUCUGGUCUGUAACUGACGCUGAGGCGCGAAAGCGUGGGGAGCAAACAGGGAUUAGAUACCCUGGUAGUCCACGCCGUAAACGAUGAGUGCUAAGUGUUAGGGGGUUUCCGCCCCCUUAGUGCUGCAGCUAACGCAUUAAGCACUCCGCCUGGGGAUACGGCCGCAAGGCUG
rnacentral:rRNA from 1 species